UACGGGAGCAGCAGUGAGGAAUAUUGCACAAUGGGCGAAAGCCUGAUGCAGCAACGCCGCGUGAGCGAUGAAGGCCUUCGGGUCGUAAAGCUCUGUCCUCAAGGAAGAUAAUGACGGUACUUGAGGAGGAAGCCCCGGCUAACUACGUGCCAGCAGCCGCGGUAAU
rnacentral:rRNA from 1 species